rnacentral:rRNA from 1 species
GACGAACGCUGGCGGCGUGCUUAACACAUGCAAGUCGAACGGGCCCGCUCUCUUUUUUGGGGGUGGGUUGAGUGGCGAACGGGUGAGUAUCACGUGAGUAACCUGCCCCCUGCUCCUGGAUAACUGCUUGAAAGGGCGGCUAAUACGGGGUGUGCCGGCUGGUCCGCAUGGGCCUGGUCGGGAUAGUUUCAUCUUCGGGUGUUUCGGUGGGGGAUGGGCUCGCGGCCUAUCAGCUUGGUGGGGGGGUGAUGGCCCGACAAGGCGGUGACGGGUAGCCGGCCUGAGAGGGUGGGCGGCCACACUGGGACUGGGACACGGCCCAGACGCCGGCGGGAGGCAGCAGUGGGGGGUAUUGCACAAUGGGCGGAAGCCUGAUGCAGCGACGUCGCGUGAGGGAUGGAGGCCUUCGGGUUGUGAACCUCUUUCUCCGGUGGUGAAGGCCCUGUCCGUUGCGGCGGGGUUGACGGUAGCCGGGGAUGAAGCGCCGGCUAACUACGUG